rnacentral:rRNA from 1 species
CCUACGGGAGGCAGCAGUGGGGAAUAUUGGGCAAUGGGCGCAAGCCUGACCCAGCAACGCCGCGUGAAGGAAGAAGGCUUUCGGGUUGUAAACUUCUUUUGACAGGGAAGAGUAGAAGACGGUACCUGUCGAAUAAGCCACGGCUAACUACGUGCCAGCAGCCGCGGUAAUACGUAGGUUGCAACCGUUGUCCGGCUUUACUGGGUGUAAAUGGCGUGUAGCCGGGUUCACAAGGCAGAUGUGAAAUCCUGCGGCUUAAACGGAGAACUGCAUUUGAAAUUGGUGAUCUUGAGUACUGGAGAGGCAGACAGAAUUACGAGUGUAGCGGUGAAAUGCGUAGAGAUGAGGAGGAACACCAGGGGCGAAGGCGGUCUGCUGGACAGCAACUGACGGUGAGGCGCGAAAGCGUGGGGAGCAAACAGGAUUAGAUACCCCAGUAGUC